UAUAAAAAUUACUUUUAGGUCCCUAGUUCGUUCUGGACAGAAUGAAGGAUGGUUUAUGGGUGAAAUUUCAGUAUGGUUAUAUAUUUACAGUUUGGUCCAGUUUUGGUAAAAUUACAUUUUGGUCCCUAUUUGGAUAAUUAUCGUUUUAGUCCCUAAACCUAGGAGAGUAAACCUAGUUUUAUUUUAUGCAUUGAGAUAUUUUGUUUGAGUUGUUUUUGAGUAUAUUUCAUAUAUUGUUGUAGGUUCUCCUAACGAUCCUCAAUAGGAUUUUCGGUCUUUCGUAUGACGUUCCUUUAGUUCUAUAUUUUCCGGGUUCUUAGUUUCUGAUAGUAGUUGGACUUUGUUGAGUGUUUCUACUUCUUCAGUUUUGGGUCGGUAUGCCUUGCUUAUUGUUCAAGGUUGUUUUGAUUCGAUGUCUUAGACGCUCCACUAUUACUCUGUUUUAAUUAAGUUUGGAUUUUGACAAUGUAAUGAGUAUUAUGAAUUAUUAUUUUUAUUUUAAUUACUUAUGAAGAGUUUUAAACUAUUCUUUGAUUUCAUCAGCUUUGAGUAAUAUACUAUUUCUGAAGAUUAUGAAAUGUUGCGUAUUUUUGAA